UACAGAGGUCCCAAGCGUUGUUCGGAUUCAUUGGGCGUAAAGGGUGCGUAGGUGGCGCCGUAAGUCGGGUGUGAAAUCUUGGAGCUUAACUCCGAAACUGCAUUCGAUACUGCCGUGCUUGAGGACUGGAGAGGAGACUGGAAUUUACGGUGUAGCGGUGAAAUGCGUAGAUAUCGUAAGGAAGACCAGUGGCGAAGGCGGGUCUCUGGACAGUUCCUGACGCUGAGGCACGAAGGCCAGGGGAGCAAACAGG
rnacentral:rRNA from 1 species